ACCGAAAUAGUUUAGCGGUUAAAACACGUCAUUCAUAACGAUGUAACAUUGGUUCGAUUCCAAUUUUCGGUA